GAUGAACGCUGGCGGCGUGCCUAAUACAUGCAAGUCGAGCGAACAGACGAGGAGCUUGCUCCUCUGACGUUAGCGGCGGACGGGUGAGUAACACGUGGAUAACCUACCUAUAAGACUGGGAUAACUUCGGGAAACCGGAGCUAAUACCGGAUAAUAUAUUGAACCGCAUGGUUCAAUAGUGAAAAACGGUUUUGCUGUCACUUAUAGAUGGAUCCGCGCCGCAUUAGCUAGUUGGUGAGGUAACGGCUUACCAAGGCGACGAUGCGUAGCCGACCUGAGAGGGUGAUCGGCCACACUGGAACUGAGACACGGUCCAGACUCCUACGGGAGGCAGCAGUAGGGAAUCUUCCGCAAUGGGCGAAAGCCUGACGGAGCAACGCCGCGUGAGUGAUGAAGGUCUUCGGAUCGUAAAACUCUGUUAUUAGGGAAGAACAAAUGUGUAAGUAACUAUGCACGUCUUGACGGUACCUAAUCAGAAAGCCACGGCUAACUACGUG
rnacentral:rRNA from 1 species